CCGAAGCUGUAGAAUGGGUUCAACCAACGCUCUUGUUCGUCUGGCAGAUGCUGCUCAACAUUCUGCGUUUCUCAUCCAUGCCGCCGCCAUCGUGACAUUGAACCCCGCGUCACCGAACGCGUCAUCGCGUCAGCAAGUCCUUAUACGUCAACACGUCGGGUGAUGUCAUUCCCGACCGUUGGCCCUGGCAACGCUCAAGCCUCCGUUCCGGACCUUUUUCGCUCUUCUCCUGCACUUUCUCACUUUCGCUACUGUUAUGGACCAGGACCGACCUCUCAAAAUAUUUUUAAGCAGGUAGCCCGGACUGUAACUUUGUUUUAGGAGGACACUACAUUAAGUUGUCAACAUUUUGAGGAAUAACUAACCUAGAAGAUCACAUCUCCAACGAUGGAACACAAUCACAAUGCUACAUGAAAUAUGUCCAUGUUAAAGUCUGUUGGAUAUUGGGGUCCCUUAAAAAACUGAUUUUGUAAGCAUAAGACACUGGAGCAGAACUUAGGCCACUCGAGUCUGCUCUGUCAUUCAAUCAUGGCUGGUAAGUUUCUCAACACCAUUCUCCUGUUUUCUUCCCAUAACCCUUG